CCGCCGCAAGCGACAAGGCAAAAACACAGCGCUGCCAUUAUAAUCAACGAAUCUGUUUCCAGCGCUUGCAGAGUGGUGGAUGUGUUGUGAGGAAACACGCUGCUCCGCGCUCGCUUGCCAGUCCGCUGCCUGACGUCACCCCGGAGCGCUCUUCCAUAGAUGCGAGAGUACAGUGACAGCGCCUCGUCCACUGUACGCAACACUGAGCGCGGCUCAGCACUGUCUCAGGCUAUACGCGAGAAACGGCAGCAGAACAUGGAUUGUGACUAGGCAACAUUACGCUUUAUUUGAGGCCGGUCGUCCGCCCUGCACUCGCGGGGUGCAGUACUUUAAGCCCUCCGUUCCCAUUAUUUUAGCCAAGUGAUCACUGCCCUCCUGUGAUCCGGGAAUAACGGUGGGAGCUUUAACAUAUUUAUUAAUUAUUCCUCGAGUUUCUACUCCACUCUAACGGUUCGACUCUGACUUGAAGCUGAGGCUCAAUAACUGGAUUUUAUCGGUGGAACAAUAGGCGACUGCUGCUGUCUGGAUAUUAAAUUUUACUCUUGGAUUAUUGUCUCAGCAUCAUGAGCACGAGUGUACCCUAUCAGCAAAGCUCAUGCAGCAGUGAACGGAGCUCCGGACCAAUCCACUGCUUUCGCUGCCGGGAGGUGUGCAAAGGAGAAGUGGUACGAGUGCAGCAUGUCCACUUCCACAUCAAAUGCUUCACCUGCCAAGUGUGUGGCUGUGAUUUGGCACAUUCCGGAUUCUUCCAGAAGAGUGGCGAGUACAUCUGCACAGCAGACUACCAGCGCCUGUACGGCACAAAGUGUGACAGCUGUGGGGACUUUAUCUCAGGGGAGGUGGUCUCUGCACUGGGCCGCACAUAUCAUCCACGUUGUUUCGUCUGCAGCGUGUGCAGGAAACCUUUUCCAAUUGGGGACAGAGUGACGUUCAGCGGUAAAGAAUGUGUCUGUCAGCAGUGUUCCCUCAAGAUGGUUAAUUCCAAUGAGCCAAUCAAAAUCCACGGGCCCAGUCACUGUGCAGGUUGUAAGGAGGAGAUUAAACAGGGUCAAUCUCUGCUGGCGUUAGAGAAACAGUGGCACGUCAGCUGCUUCAGGUGUCAGACCUGCGGCCUGGUCCUGACGGGGGAGUACAUCAGCAAAGAUGGCAUUCCUUACUGUGAGUCAGACUACCAUGCCCAGUUUGGGAUAAAGUGUGAAACAUGCGACAGAUACAUCAGUGGACGUGUGCUGGAGGCUGGAGGAAAGCACUACCACCCUACUUGUGCUCGCUGUGCCCGGUGUCAGAUGAUGUUUACAGAAGGAGAGGAGAUGUAUCUCACAGGUUCCGAGGUGUGGCAUCCUGUGUGUAAACAAGCAUCUCGAGCAGAGAGGAAACUGAGACUCAGGCGCACAUCAGAAACCUCCAUCUCUCCUCCAGGCUCCAGCAUUAGUUCACCCAGCAGAGUCAUCUGUGCAAAAAUGGAGAACGAGAUCCUUGAUUACAAAGACUUGGCAGCGCUGCCUAAGGUUAAAGCCAUUUAUGAAGUGCAGAGGCCAGACUUCUGGUCCUAUGAGCCCAGUCACAGAUACUGCUCCGAUGACAGGCUAGAGCGUCUCAGCUAUGGGGAGUCCUUGGGCACACUCUCCCCUUAUUCUCAGGACAUGUAUGACAGUAUGGAUAUGAGGAUGAGAAGAUCCUCCAGUCCAGGGUACAUAGACUCCCCCACCUACAGUAGGCAAGGCAUGUCUCCCAUCAUGCCCCGCUCUCCACAGCACUACUACAGAUACGGCACUGAGAGUGGCAGAAGUUCACCCUAUUACAAUCAGCUAGAUGCCCGGUCCAGCACUCCCACCACAAACCAAGCUCCCAAGCAUUUCCAUGUGCCAGCCACAGGGGAGCCCAACAUCUACAGGAAGCCUCCCAUCUAUAAGAGACAUGCAACUAAGAGCAAGACCAGUGAGGACAUUGUCCAAUCUUCCAAAUUCCCAUCAGCCUACUCACCUGAACACUACCAGCACUCAGAGUCUGAUUACUACCAUUACACCAGCUCUCCUAAAUCUUUACGAGCUCCUCGGAGAAGGUACUCAUCAGGAGGAGAAGAGGAUGGCUGGAGUCACGGCCUUCAAAGAAUUCAGGGUGGUAUCGGUAGGAUGAUCCUAAAGGAGGAGAUGAAAGCCCGCUCCGGUUCCUAUGACAACGACCCCUGGGGCAGCGCGCGGAACUCCCGCAGUGGGAGCAGGGAGAUGUUGCACAGCAUGGGCCACAACAACACUGUUAACGGCUCUCCUCGGACAAACUUUGCAGCAGAGAAUGACUACAUAGCCAAGUCAGCCUCUUUGCCUGGAUAUGGCAGGAAUGGAUUGCACAGGCCACAAAGUGCAGACUACUAUCAGUAUGACAGUGGCAGUGAAGUCAACUGGGGAAUCAGAGAGUACAAGGUAAGGACCAUGGUUUAGCAUUACUAGAGGGCCCAGAGAGACACUAAAACAUCCUGGUACAGAGGCACCUCUGAAACACUGUCCACUCGAGAGGAAAGCCCAGAUUUACAGUAUGUCAGUCUAAUGAACCCUGAUGGGUCAAAGCAACGUCCUGCUGGUCAAAGCAUGUGGAAACCAGAGGAUGGAGAAAUUAGUGCUUCCAGGUCAUAAGGCCACUGUGUCAUUCCCCAGCUGGCCCUUAGUGAGACUGCAAGAGCUGUGGAGAGGGCAGGGGUUUGUCUGACCCCUUUGCUCCUGGUUGGUCAGGAACAAUAUUGUUCUGCUCGGUGCCGCUUCCUGUCUCAGUUACAGCUACUAUGCCAGAGGCUCUGUGAUUUCCUUUCACUUUUGUAAGUGAGAGGAAAAGGAGGUCGACCAAUGCACAGCCUUCUAUGAGAACAAUGCUUAGCUUUCCAUUACCAAUCUAUGAUUGUUUCAUAGAGUCAAGACAAUUAUUUACAGUGCAAUGCAAUGCUAACUUUCAUUGCAGAUCUACCCAUAUGAAGCACUUAUUGUGACCACUAGGGGGCGUAACAGGUUGCCAAAGGAUGUCGAUCGGGCCAGAUUGGAGCGGCAUCUUUCUCCGGAGGAGUUCUAUCAGGUGUUUGGGAUGACGAUGGUAGAGUUUGACCGUCUGGCACUGUGGAAGAGAAACGAGAUGAAGAAACAAGCCCGGUUGUUCUAGCGUUCCUGUCCCACACACACACACACACACACACACACACACAGAGACCUGAAUAUCUGUUCCAGUCUAACUAAACAAACACAUCCUGUGUCUCAGACACAUAGUCAUGCCUGGGCUGUACCUAGAAAUUGUGCAACUGUUCUGUGACAGAGGCAUAUAAAUGAACAGACAGGCUAGAAUACCUGACAAAGAAAGAUAAAUAACAUUAUAAACAGAAUGAUGGGAACAUUUUAGUUUUUACUUGAGUGUAAAGUGGUUCUUGAACACGUUUUAUUUUGUUUCCGAAUGGAAUCAGGAAUUGUAAGGAUUUUGAAUUUUGCCUUAUGUUCUCUAUUAAUUUAUGCACCAGCAAAGUGAGUGAACAGAAUGUAAAUACGAUUAAUACAACUAUAAUGAGAGCGGAUGAACCGUCUGACGCCAUCAUUAAGUACAUUAAGUAAUAUUUAAUUUUAAAGGUUAUAAAAUAGUAUUUUUCAGUCCUUUUACUUUCACUAUUAUACAAGGACUACAUAAGCUUAAGUGGGCUGAAAUAAGCGAUGAUUUGCUUGACAAUGAAUACCAAAGUCUGACUGUUAUUUGUGAAGUUAGCAGAUUGAGCACUACGGUGCUGUACUUUGUUCAGGUCAUUUCCAAGGAGUAACAAAUACUGAAUGUACACUUUAGGAUUAUUAGACUAAUAUUGAUGAAACAUACAUUGUAUAUUGUGAUAGUAGAAAUACAUAUGGCUUGUGUCUGAUACAGAUUAUGACAAAACAGAUUCUAGGAAAGAAUUAUGGUGCAAUGUUUUUUUCUUUUGUUUUUCAAGAUGAUAUGCUCUUAAAAAAGAGAUCUGUUGGUUAGGUUAGUGCCGUUUACUUUCAUCACUCCUGUUAGGAUGGAUCAGGAAAUGCUGUGAUAACUUAAGUGGGUUUAAUAUAUUUUUGGGUCAUGACAGGGCGAAUACAUCACCUGAUUCUGUAAUAAAAUAAAUGCAGAGGAAGUAAACAUGAAUUGUGUGGCCAACGACAGGGAUAACAUAUUUACACUCACAUAUUACUUAAUGAAAAACACAUUAUCACACCAUUGAAGCAAGUGACGUAACAAACUGUAACCUUGAUUAAGACCUAACAGUAAGCGUGGGGUCUUUCAUGCCAAGGGAUACUGACAGUAGUUUUUGUACCUCACUGACAAACAGGUGAAACCAUCAUGUUUUCUGCCUUUGUGUGUAGUGUUUACAACCUGUUUGCCCAAUAGAUUAUGAAGUGUUCUAUUAAUUUCCUAGUGAAGGAAGAGAGCUAGAGUAUAACCAUAUUUUUGAUUCUCUCUUUUUUAAUCACUACCUUCCUAACUUUAUUUAUCUGUCAGUUUCAACAGACUAUGUACAUCUUAUAUUGCAAUAAAAGUUUGUU